rnacentral:rRNA from 1 species
GACGAACGCUGGCGGCGUGCUUAACACAUGCAAGUCGAGCGGAGCGGCGAACGGGUGAGUAACGCGUGAGUAACCUGCCCCCCUCUCUGGGAUAACAGUUGGAAACGGCUGCUAAUACCGGAUAGUGUGGGAUGGGCCCGCGGCCUAUCAGCUUGUUGGUGGGGUAAUGGCCUACCAAGGCGGCGACGGGUAGCCGGCCUGAGAGGGUGGACGGCCACAUUGGGACUGAGACACGGCCCAGACUCCUACGGGAGGCAGCAGUGGGGAAUAUUGCACAAUGGGCGGAAGCCUGAUGCAGCGACGCCGCGUGGGGGAUGACGGCCUUCGGGUUGUAAACUCCUUUCACCAUCGACGCGGUAGAUGGAGAAGAAGCACCGGCUAACUACGUGCCAGCAGCCGCGGUAAUAC